rnacentral:rRNA from 1 species
CUGAAUAACUUUGCUGAUCACACAGUCCUAGCACUGGUGACAUAUCUUUCAAGUGUCUGCCCUAUCAACUUUCGAUGGUAGUUUAUGUGCCUACCAUGGUGGUAACGGGUAACGGAGAAUAAGGGUUCGACUCCGGAGAGGGAGCCUGAGAAAUGGCUACCACAUCCAAGGAAGGCAGCAGGCGCGCAAAUUACCCACUCUCAGCUUGAGGAGGUAGUGACGAAAAAUAACAAGACAGCUCUCUAUGAGGUCUGUCAUUGGAAUGGGUACAAUUUAAACCCUUUAACGAGGAUCUAUUGGAGGGCAAGUCUGGUGCCAGCAGCCGCGGUAAUUCCAGCUCCAAUAGCAUAUUCCAAUUCUGUUGCUGUUUAAAA